rnacentral:lncRNA from 1 species
UUUUUUUUUUUUUUUUAAUGUUUUUUUGGUUUUUUUUUUUUUGGCCACACCUGCAGCAUGCAGAAAUUCCUAUGCCAGAGAUUGAACCUGUGUCACAGCAGUGACAUUGCCAGAACCUUAACCCACUGAGCUACCCAGGAACUUCUGUAUGCAUUUUCAUUGUUAAUGAAAGAAAAGCAGUUUUUUAUGCCAAAAUGUAUCCCACAGCAUCCUGUUCUCAUUCAAACCCACGGAUAACUGAGCGAAGCCUGCUUUAGCCCAUUCCUCCUCCUUCAGGGUAUAGGAUGAUAUGCAGUUUGAACUAUUAUUUAUAAGUACCAGGUGGAGUAAAUAAUAGUUUAUUCAGUUGCCCUGAUGCUGUGCAGUUUGAACUUUAUUUAGUCUACCUGGUAUUUGUAUUUUGUGAUACAGAAAUUAUUAAACUUUUUUUUUUUUUUUUUUUUGUCUUUUUGCCAUUUCUUGGGCCGCUCCCUCGGCAUAUGGAGGUUCCCAGAAAAAACAAAAAGACUAAAAAAAAAGAAAGAUAGGGACUAUUGGCCAUCAGAUCACCUUCCAACAGCUACUGACACCUUGGAUAAUUCAUUUACUAUCUCCAUGCUCUCACAUACACACCUGUAAACUGGGAAUACUUUAAUCAUUCCUUUCUCAAAAGGUGACUGGGAGCAUUGAAUGAGUCUUUGUUAAAUACCUAGACCACUACCUAGGACAGUAGGUAGCAAGAACUCCCAACUGAAAUGGGACAUCCAUCCUCCAGCUACUCUCUAGUGUAAGUAUCAGAAAGCACAGUCUACUAAGCUCUGGAAUCCUCAGGAAACUACAGUGAGACAGAAUUAGUCUCCCUUGAGCAGAAGACCCCAAUUCCCAGAGGAACGAAAACAAUUCCAUUUGUGCUCCACGGAACUCAAGCAAAUACAACAGCACAUGUGUAAAUGGUGCCAACCUAGCAAUACAAACUCCAGGUGAAUUUAGGAAAACUGCAUUGCCCAUCUACAGUGGUUCUAUUAAUAAAACUGCACUGGUGCGUGAUUUGGUUUAAAAUACUGCUAUAGUCACUCUGCAUGUUUAUGAUUCCUGUGUUUUUGAAGUAAAAUGACACCAUAUAGAAAGGAGUCUAGAGUAUUACGUCAACACAAAUUCUAGGUGUAGAUGAACAGAAUAUUUUUUUUUUGAAUGAAAGUCAAUUUAUUAGCAUUACCCAUGAAAAGAAACUUCAGUGGUGUAACAUAAAACUUACAAGAUUUAUAAUGCAUAAAACUUGAACAGAAUAUUCUAUCUGUAGAAAUGGAAAUAGAAAGCAGAUAUUUCAUUACAACUACCUCCUGGAAACAUGUCAGAAAAAAUAGCCUGGGAACAAGAAACCUUUCUCCUUGAGGUCCAGCAUGAAGUUACUUCCUAUGGUCAUUAGAUGGCAGAUUUGGGCUUGUAGGGUAAUUUGUUCGCCUGCACAUGGCCACAGGAGCAGAAACAGAAGGCUCCAUCACCAGCACGGAGUUUAAAGAGUAAGAAGAAUCUAUUACAGUUGACCUUUGAACAGCAUGGGUUUGACCUGUGAGGAUCCACUUAUACGUUAAUUUUUUUCAAUAAAUACAUACAUACAACAGUAUCUGCAUUUGGUUGAAUCUGUGGAUGCGUGGAUCCAGACGGCCAGUCUGUAAAGUUAUCGGCAGAUUUUUGACUGCACAGAGGCUCAGUGUCCCUAACCCCUGCAUGACUGAAGGGUCAAAUGUAUAAAUAAUAUUUGGUGCUAGAUAUUAUGUGAGACAGAGAAGACAACCAACCUAAAUCCUCCCUUCCAGGAGCUAACGGCCUAGUAAGUAAGAGAGAGAAAUAAAUCUAGAUCAAUAACUUUAACACAAAGUAGUUAAUAUAAGGAAUUCCUGCUAUGGUGCAGUGGGUUAAGAAUCCAACUAUAUCGGCCUGGGUCACCGAGGAGGUGCGGGUUCAAUCCCUGGCCCAGCACAGUGGGUUAAAGGAUGUGGUGUUGCCACAGCUGAAGUGCAGUUUGCAGCCAUGGCUCCUAUUCAAUCCCAGGCUCGAGAACUUCCAUAUGCUGUGCGUGUGGCCAUAAAAUUAAAAAAAUAAAACGUAGAAAGAAAGAAAACACCAGAAGUGUUCACAGGAAGGAAGAGAUUCACACAAUUCUGGAGGAAGUGGGGGAAAAAAGAUCCAGAAGACAAAGGUCAGGCAAAUAUUGUCCUAAUUAUUUAAAAUGCAAAAAAGUGUUUGAAUGUCUCUCAGUGACCACAGGAUGGAGUCUGGAUUCCACAGAAGGAAGGCAAACAAUGUUCUCAAUGUUCUCUCUGAAUUGCUCCAGUUUCACUUCUGUCUGUCCUGACUCCUUCUCUGCAUCCUGAUGAAAGCAAAGUUUUUGUAGCUGCCCAUGUUCAACAGGAAGCUGGCUUUCUUCAUGCUGUUCCCUCUCACUAGAAUGCCCUUCUCCUUCUGUUUAUUCUUCCAGACUCAAGUAUUAUCUCCUUCAGAAAGUAUUGCCAAAAGUUGCCCUGCCCCCUCCUUGAUGCUCCUAUAGCAUCUGGCCCAUUUGCCUCCCAUGGUACUGAUGAUGCUGAAAUUAUCUUCUUGGGUAUCAGCCUCCCUGUGGAUCUAUCAUCAGCAUCUCCAGAGCUAGAUCACAUGCUCUUCAUCUCUGCACUUCAGUACCUAGCCCAGGGCUUGGUACUCUGCAGGUGCACAGUAAGUGUUUGUUGCUCUGCUAUAAGGCUGUUCUAGACUUAGGGAUUCUAUGUGGCUUGGGAAUACAAAGAAAAUAAAGUGGUGGUGAUUUUACAGCCUUUCUGAAGCUGCUCAGGACUCAUCCUUGUCCCCACCUAUUGUCUCCACUGAGACCAAGGUUCAUGCCUUCAAUUAAGUUACCAAGUUCUGAUGGACCGAUGGGUACCAGGUGGGUACCGAGAUUGCCAAAGAGCCUCUGACUCUCACUCUCAUGCCAGACAAUCUUGGAACAGAGGCAAAGGGAUACUGGCAAGAUUCCUCUAUCCUAUAAUAAAAAGUCAUUUUGUCAAACACCCACUUCAAUGAUAAUCCUAACCUUUACAAAAUGAUAGGAACAAAGAGAAAUGAACAAGGGAUGUCAUUGUCAUCAUUUGAGAUGUUGAAAAAUGGAAAAAUGACCAACCACUCUCUUUGAAAUAAUCUGGUUAAAAUAUUGAGCCAUGAAACCUCUGCUGGAUGUUCCAAGCAAGAGGGUUGAAAAUAUGAUCACAGGAGAACCAGAGAUUUUUCAAGGUGGUGGAUAUCGGAAUGAUCUGCUCCAAAGGGAAACUUUUUCAAAAGAAACAAGCAUGGGGGGGGUAAGGCAAAUCCUGUGCCACUGAUUCUGCAACAGGGUGAAAUUGUUCUAAGUUUUCCUUGACAACUUUGUUCAAAAUUGUCAAUAGUCAAUAAACUCCUGACAAAUGGAGCCCCAGACGCACUGAAUGAAUAGGAUAAGGUUCCCACUGCACUCCUGGUCCUUUCAUGAUACAGAUUCAAAACCCAGGGCUGAGACUCUCCAGGUAGAAACCAAAUCUUUUUAUUUUGCUUUCCCUAAAACACAACUAUAGGUAGACUCUCUAUGGGAUGUGACGUUUGGAGCUUUCCUCUUUCCUUCUGAAAUUUUUUUCAUAUGCAUUUCCAUCAGUUAUGGACCUGCUAUAAUUAAAAGUCAAACAAUGUGCAAUGACCUCAAAUGUCCACUGCUUUAUCAAAGUCCAGGUGAGUCACAAUAACCCCAUUUCUGUUAGGGUUACUAGAACAGGGGGAAUGCCAUAAGAGGAGCAUUGGAAAUAACUUCGAAUAGAGAACAGAGACAUAGGAAGAUGAAAAGAGAAUAAAAUUGGUUCCUGAAGCACUGAGAGUGAAAGUGUACUGAUUUGGAGAAGGUGACUUUCUGGGUUUCCUGAUAAUACAAAACAGUGAUUACAAGUGCUCCCUUGUAGGAGGUUGAGUGAGAAAAUGUAUAUAAAGUACCCGGGGGAAUGUUUGGAUGUCAUGGCAGCACCAAGAAUGGCAGGAGGGAUAAAAGUGUUUCAGGACAGCCCUGGGCAAUGGAAGUUGAGGCCAAGGCCAGCCAGGUCUUGACCGCCCAGCUCCUGUGUCAGAGGGAAAGUAUGUUCCUUGGAGGUGGGCAGGCUGGUGCAUACCCC